UCAACGAGACUAUAUAAUAUGCUCUGACUUUGAAUUCUAGGUAUAUGGCUAGUAUGAAGAUGAGUUCUCUAUGUCAUGUUAAGUUGGCAUACAAUAUCCGCCCAUGUGUAAUGUAAAUUGGCGUAUUAAGUUUGUCUAUGUUCUGUGAACGUCAUUGGGCGUAUUAUGAUUAAUAUGUGAAACUCCUUUUGAAAGGUUUGUUAUUAUCGUAAGAAAUAGUGUGUAUGGUUUCUAUUUACCUUUGGAACUCACUAAGUUUGUAUGAACUUACUCUGUUAUCUUUUCAUUAUCAGGCG
rnacentral:lncRNA from 1 species